rnacentral:lncRNA from 1 species
UAUGGUCAACAACUCUACUAAAUGAGUACGAGUACUGAACUAGCACAAAAGUCUUCCAACUGCCCUGUCUUCUCCGCUAUUCCACCGAAGUGUAUCAAAAACAUACCUUCCCUCCCCUGUAAAAAAGGGAGUUAGAACCUUCUAUUACUACUCUGCUUAGGCGGGUGGUCCCCUUGGACUAGAUCAAACUGGACUCCCUGCUAUCGCUAUCGAGGAACCUUGAAACUACUGGAGAACGGCCGUACUACUCACCUUCAAGGGGUGCUUUCUAUCGACCGGAAGUACUUCUUUCUUGCCAAGCGAGUAAGCCCAGUUUAGUAUUAACAUAUAGUAAAGAGUAAGUCCUAACCAAGUGGAAUGGGAACUUAUCCUCCAAAAACUUUGAAUCAACAUUUGCUCCUCCUCUAGUCCAUUCAUGCUCGUCUUGAGCAACCAUUAGACUUAACAAUUGAAGAUGCAUGCACACCCUGUCUUCUCCGCUAUUACACCAAAGUGUAUAAAAACAUACCUUCCCUCCCUUGUAAAAAAGGGAAUUAGAACCUUCUAUUACUACUCUGCUUAGGCAGGUGGUACCCUUGGACCAGAUCAAACUGGACUCCCUGCUAUCGCUAUCGAGGAACCUUGAAACUAUUGGAGAGCGACCGUACUACUCACCUUCAAGGGGUGCUUUCUAUCGAUCGGAAGUACUUCUUUCUUGCCAAGCGAAUAAGCCUAGUUUAGUAUUAACAUAUAGUAAAGAGUAAGUCCUAACCAAGUGGAAUGGGAACUUAUCCUCCAAAAACUUUGAAUCAACAUUUGCUCCUCCUCUAGUCCAUUCAUGCUCGUCUUGAGCAACCAUUAGACUUAACAAUUGAAGAUGCAUGCACAAUAGCUUUCUCGGCCCAUCAUCGGUAGGGGUCAUUGAAUGAACCAGCGGGCAUCAUCUGGAAUAACCACUUUACGGGACAAAAG